GACUUCUAUUUCAUUUUUUAUUUUCUACUCAAUAUAGGAAAGGAUCCGCGUGUGAAUAAUUACAAAGUAGCAAGUAUUUUUACAUAGAGCAAAUAUGAUAAAAACCCUAUUAUAGUGGGGCAUGUGUAAUGAACAGUACUUUUUAAUUUCAAAAUAGCUAUUCAUUAAAAAAGAAUGGAAGAUUAAAAAGAGAGGCUCAAAGCUCAAGGUAAAAGUUGAUAGACAUUGUAAUUACAUGGUUAAUUUCAAAGAUUUAUAUGCUGUUAUGAUUUAAAAGGAAUUUUUAUGACCUGACAUUUUCAUUGGAGAAGAUUUUUUAUUUAAAAUUAAUCUUCGAGCUCCUAUUCUUAAUUAUUUCUUGGCAAGCGAUAAAUGGGAAUACAAAAAAAAAGUGUCCUAUAUCAAAUUUUAAGCAGAAUAAAUGCUGGCGAAAUCUCGAACAGGAGUAAAGUGGUUUUUACUUAUUUGAAUGGCUUUACAUUGAAAUCCCAGGUUGAAGGAAUUUGUGGGAAAGAGCUGGAAAUCAUUGGCCCAUUUAAGGGCGCAGCAAUCUGACUGCAAUGCAGCAUUUAUGACAUUUCAAAAUAUCAACUUGGAGAGAGGGUUUUGCUCCAGCGAUUUGAUUGUCUUUCGAGCGGGUGUUAAGAGUUUGCAACAGGUCUUUCUCUCGGCUGGUCCCAGACCCCUAGGACUCCCUCGAAGCGAGGGUGGGGGGCUGAGCCAGCCCGGCCUGCCUCUUCCAUCCGCGCGGAAGGAGCCGGAGCCGGAACCCGGUGCUCGCCCGCGCCUGGUGGCACCUCUGCAGAGACCAGGGGGAUGCCAGAGGCCGGCCGCUCCCCGCUGACCAGUGACACUGCGCUCCCCCAUGACGAUCCCCACCAAGCUCAGGGCCGCGGGGGACGACGUGGAGGGGGUCCUGAUUACCCGGGCUAAGGGGCACCGCGCGGCCGCAGAGGGUGACGCGCGGGGGCCGAUGGCGGACUGGGGGUCUCUGUAGCCCAGGGCCCCCAUCCCCCUGCCGUCGCGAGGUCGCGACCUGGGCUCCCCUCACUCCCUCGCCCCCUUGCGGGAGACCGCGGCUGCCAGCGAGGCCGCUGCCGAAGUUCGGGGACGAAGACUGCAUGUGAUCUCGCUUCUCCUGGCGCGUCCACGCUCCACCGGGGCGGGGGGACUUGAGGCCCUGCUUCCCCAUCUUCACCUCCGCUUGCUGCUCCUCCGCAGGUGUUGGGCACGGUCCCUGGCUCCCCCUUCCUGCCUUCGUCCCAGCACCUCCAGCCCUGGGUCGGGGGUCCUGGGCGCUUGGGGAGCGGGUACCUAGGAGACGAGGGGCGGGGUGCCUAGAGGGGGGACCGCUGUCGGAGAGCAGAGGGAAGCAAAGAGCAGGCAGCGACUGCAUCCUCCAGGCCCUGGAGGAGCGAAGUUGUGCCCUCCCCGGCGAAAGGGGGACCCCGAGGGAACUCGGGGACGCGGAAACCUUCACUGCUGGGCGCGCCGCAUAUCCCAUUUUAAAGUGGAAAUGUGACAACUGCUCUGCCAUAUUCAAAGGCUUCCUGCAGUGGGUCUGAAGACAUUUUUGGAGCAGAAGAUACCUCAGACACAGACAAGAGCAAGCCAUCCCCUGAAGAAAUUGGAGUGAGCGUGCAGUUCGCUCUCCUCUGGGCUUGCUUUCAUGGGGAACCCAGG
ensembl:lncRNA